rnacentral:lncRNA from 1 species
UUUCCCACUGUACAGCAAGGGGGUCAGGUUAUCCUUACAUGUAUACAUUACUAUUACAUUUUUCCCCCACCCUUUGUUCUGUUGCAACAUGAGUAUCUAAACAAAGUUCUCAAUGCUAUUCAGCAGGAUCUCCUUGUAUAUCUAUUCUAAGUUGUGUCUGAUAAGUCCAAGCUCCCAAUCCCUCCCACUCCCUCCCCCUCCCAUCAGGCAGCCACAAGUCUCUUCUCCAAGUCCAUGAUUUUCUUUUCUGAGGAGAUGUUCAUUUGUGCUGGAUAUUAGAUUCCAGUUAUAAGUGAUAUCAUCUGGUAUUUGUCUUUGUCUUUCUAGCUCAUUUCACUAAGGAUGAGAUUCUCUAGUUCCAUCCAUGUUGCUGCAAAUGGCAUUAUGUCAUCCUUUUUUAUGGCUGAGUAGUAUUCCAUUGUGUCUAUAUACCACAUCUUCCGAAUCCAAUCCUCUGUCUAUGGACAUUUGGGUUGUUUCCAUGUCCUGGCUAUUGUGAAUAGGGCUGCAAUGAACAUGCGGGUGCACGUGUCUCUUUUAAUUAGAGUUUUGUCCGGAUAGAUGCCCAAGAGUGGGAUUGUGGGGUCAUAUGGAAGUUCUAUGUAUAGAUUUCUAAGGUAUCUCCCAACUGUUCUCCAUAUGGCUGUACCAGUUUACAUUCCCACCAGCAGUGCAGGAGGGUUCCCUUUUCUCCACAGCCCCUCCAGCACUUGUUAUUUGUGGAUUUAUGAAUGAUGGCCAUUCUGACUGGUGUGAGGUGGUAUCUCAUGGUAGUUUUGUUUUGCAUUGCUCUUAUAAUCAGCGAUGUUGAGCAUUUUUUCAUGUGUUUGUUGGCCAUCUGUAUAUCUUCUUUGGAGAAAUGUCUAUUGAGGUCUUUUGCCCAUUUUUCCAUUGAUUGAUUGGCUUUUUUGCUGUUGGGUUGUAUAAGUUGUUUAUAUAUUCUAGAGAUUAAGCCCUUGUCCGUUGCAUCAUUUGAAACUGUUUUCUCCCAUUCUGUAAGUUGUCUUUUGGUUUUCUUUUUGGUUUCCUUUGCUGUGCAAAAGCUUUUCAGUUUGAUGAGGUCCCAUGGGUAUAUUUUUGCUCUAAUUUCUAUUGCUUUGGGAGACUGACCUGAGAAAUACUCAUGAUGUUGAUGUCAGAGAGUGUUUUGCCUAUGUUUUCUUCUAGGAGUUGGAUGGUGUCCUGUCUUCUAUUCAAGUCUUUCAGCCAUUUGGAGUUUAUUUUUGUGCAUGGUGUGAGGGUGUGUUCUAGUUUCAUUGCUUUGCAUGCAGCUGUCCAGGUUUCCCAGCAAUGCUUGCUGAAUAGACUUUCUUUUUCCCAUUUUAUG